GCCACACACCUCAUUCUUAUCAAGAAAAGUCUAGAAAAGAAGAGAAGAGGAGAGAAAGGAAGAGAAGAAACUAGAGAAACUAGAUAGAGAAAGCUACGAAUUUGAGAGAAAAAGAGGUAAGUUCUUCGAUUCCGUUUCAUGAAUUAAUUAUCUAGGGUAUACCAUGAUGUUAUGAAGGUAUUUUUAACGAAAUUUAAUGGUUUGGAGUAGCCCAAAAUGUUACCAAACAGCCCCAAAGUUUCAGCUGUGCUAACGGAACUUCCGAGGCGAGUUUCGGCUAAGCACGAGCAUCAGGUGAUUUUUUCCUCGCUGCAUGAUGAUUGAUGAUUGGCUUAUGAUCAACAACAGACUAUUUUUUAGUGUGCUUCGGAGGACGAGUCUUCGCAGGUUGUAAGAAAGUAGCACUACGUCACGAGUAUCAGGUGAUUUUCUCCUCGCUGCAAGAUGAUUGAUGAUUGGCUUAUGAACAACAAUAAAUUAUUUUUUAUUAUGCUACGGAGGAUGAGUCUUCGCUGGUUGUAAGGCAGUAGCACUAUGUAUGAGUGGUCUUUUUAAAUCUUAUUGUGGAAGGGAUUCAUUUGGAGUAUUCUUUGAUAUAACAGGCAAUCAUCCUAGACUUCCUCUUCACAAGUGAGGAACCAGAAUCAGAUACAACUUUCUCUUUUCCCUUAUUGUUGUUUGAUUUUGAUGGUUGGUCUUGAAAAUCAUCAUCUGAAUCGGGUGCUUGGAUAGCAUCGUCUGGUUCAAUCCUUGAAAAUGGUGGUGAGGGAGUUGUAUCUGAUUGGACAUAUUUAGGGGGUAGUGAAAUGAUUGCAAUUUUCAUGGGGGUUGGUGUUAUGUUUUGAAAAGUGAUCUCCAACAUAUACAAAUUUAAUUGUAUAAUCUGCAAGAUAACUUAUUUGAAUAACUAUGAAAUAGAUAUUGAAUAAUCAGUUAUACAAUUUGGACCCCUAUUACAUGUAAAUUAUAUAUAGGCUAUU